rnacentral:rRNA from 1 species
GACGAACGCUGGCGGCGUGCUUAACACAUGCAAGUCGAACGAGGUCCACCGCGUAGCAAUACAAGGGAAGACCUAGUGGCGAACGGGUGCGUAACACGUGAGGAACUUGUCCCGGUCUCUGGGAUAACAGUUGGAAACGACUGCUAAUACCGGAUGACGUCGGAAUCUCGCAUGGGAUACUGACGAAAGGGUUACUGGAUCGGGAGAGCCUCGCGGCCUAUCAGCUUGUGGUGAGGUAACGGCUCACCAAGGCAUCGACGGGUAGCUGGUCUGAGAGGAUGAUCAGCCACACUGGGACUGAGACACGGCCCAGACUCCUACGGGAGGCAGCAGUGGGGAAUCUUGCGCAAUGGGCGAAAAGCCUGACGCAGCAACGCCGCCGUGCGGGAAGAAGG